ensembl:lncRNA
CUUGUCUGGAAAUCUCUGCCAAUGCAAGGACUGUAUGGGUCUUUCUGAGCAGAAGGAUGCAGCCCAAUUAAUCAAAACAAGUAGUGAAGCUGGAAGUGACAACUGGAAAAGUAAAGGCAAACUGCAGUUUUUUGUAACUGAAUGACCAUCUAUAACACACUGAGCAUACAGCAGAAAUGAUGAGUCACGGCCUGAACCACUGACUGAACACCUGGUGGGAAGGCAGCGCCAACCCAGGGGAGCUCAGGUGCAAGCAGUGCAGCUGAGUGACUGGAAGGAGUGGAGCCAGGAGUGUCUUCCCAG